CCUACGGGAGGCAGCAGUGGGGAAUUUUGGACAAUGGGCGCAAGCCUGAUCCAGCCAUGCCGCGUGAGUGAAGAAGGCCUUCGGGUUGUAAAGCUCUUUCGGCAGGAACGAAAUGGUUCGUGUUAAUACCACGGACUGAUGACGGUACCUGAAGAAGAAGCACCGGCUAACUACGUGCCAGCAGCCGCGGUAAUACGUAGGGUGCAGGCGUUAAUCGGAAUUACUGGGCGUAAAGCGUGCGCAGGCGGUUUCUUAAGUCAGAUGUGAAAGCCCCGGGCUUAACCUGGGAACUGCGUUUGAAACUGGGAGACUUGAGUGUGGCAGAGGGGGGUGGAAUUCCACGUGUAGCAGUGAAAUGCGUAGAUAUGUGGAGGAACACCGAUGGCGAAGGCAGCCCCCUGGGUUAACACUGACGCUCAUGCACGAAAGCGUGGGGAGCAAACAGGAUUAGAUACCCUGGUAGUCCACGCCCUAAACUAUGUCAACUGGUUGUCGGGGGAUUGAUUCCUUGGUAACGAAGCUAACGCGUGAAGUUGACCGCCUGGGGAGUACGGCCGCAAGGUUAAAACUCAAAAGGAAUUUGACGG
rnacentral:rRNA from 1 species